UCCUAUGAUGGCAUGAAAUCUUUGAGACCUGAAUCUCUUAAUUGAUGAAAUCUGUAAGCAUAAUCGCUGAGGAU